GUUGGGUAACACUAACUGGAGGACCGAACCGACUAAUGUUGAAAAAUUAGCGGAUGACCUGUGGCUGGGGGUGAAAGGCCAAUCAAACCGGGAGAUAGCUGGUUCUCCCCGAAAGCUAUUUAGGUAGCGCCUCGUGAAUUCAUCUCCGGGGGUAGAGCACUGUUUCGGCUAGGGGGCCAUCCCGGCUUACCAACCCGAUGCAAACUGCGAAUACCGGAGAAUGUUAUCACGGGAGACACACGGCGGGUGCUAACGUCCGUCGUGAAGAGGGAAACAACCCAGACCGCCAGCUAAGGUCCCAAAGUCAUGGUUAAGUGGGAAACGAUGUGGGAAGGCCCAGACAGCCAGGAUGUUGGCUUAGAAGCAGCCAUCAUUUAAAGAAAGCGUAAUAGCUCACUGGUCGAGUCGGCCUGCGCGGAAGAUGUAACGGGGCUAAACCAUGCACCGAAG
rnacentral:rRNA from 1 species